AACGACUCUCGGCAACGGAUAUCUCGGCUCUCGCAUCGAUGAAGAACGUAGCGAAAUGCGAUACUUGGUGUGAAUUGCAGAAUCCCGUGAACCAUCGAGUCUUUGAACGCAAGUUGCGUCCGAAGCCAUCAGGCUGAGGGCACGUCUGUCUGGGUGUCACGC
rnacentral:rRNA from 1 species